AGCCGUGCAGUGAGCACAGAGCGAACUAUUCUUUCGCCUUUUACUAGAGAAUACCGUGUGCUCGCUGCAGAAAGCGGCAUACGCCAAUUUUUGGAAGGGCUUUUUCCUCUUUGGAAAGU
rnacentral:snRNA from 1 species